rnacentral:piRNA from 7 species
GGUUAGCACUCUGGACUUUGAAUC